UCUUAAUUAAUAAGCUAAUCCGGUGUUGAGCGCGACAGCUGAUAAAGCUAAACAUGUGCUAGUUUAUAUUUAUAUAUGUGCAUGCAGGAACAGGAAAUCACGGAUCGAUCGAUGGCCAGAUAAUUAAGAAGAAGAAACGGACCUUCGACCACGAGCACUUUGAAGAUCACCUCCCCGUCCCGUCUCCGGUGGGCGUAAACGUGCGGGGUGCUGAAUAUAUAGCCGAUGCGUGGAAAUCCAGCGAUCCGGGGCCGGGCGCGGCGCGGCGUGGCUGCCGGGCGCAUGGGACGAAGAAAAUCUAUCAAGAUUCAAGGAGAAGAGCUAUGGUAGCAGUGGUGCAACAUCGGGGCUGACUUCUAGUUUGGCAUUUACACCAGUUCAGGUAAUAGAGUUGUCAAAUCCACAGCCCCACGGGAAUCUGUUUGGAUGUGGAACUCAGAGCACCUAUUUUUCAGAGACCGGUACGUUCUCGAAGAUCAAAAGGACCUGAGCAAAGAAGCUAGUUUGUUCGUCGUCGUCCCAGAUGCCCACACCUGUGAUGCCCACACUAUUUAGGAUUCACCGUGCAUAGGAUGAAUCCACUUUGUAAUAUUCUCCACCUUAUGGACGAAGUGGCACAUAUCUGUUCGCAAUCUUCAGGGUUCCGCUACUUUCAGUGUUGAAAUUCAA